rnacentral:rRNA from 1 species
GACGAACGCUGGCGGCGUGCUUAACACAUGCAAGUCGAACGGAAAGGCCUGCUUUCCCUUGUGGAUUGCGGGUACUCGAGUGGCGAACGGGUGAGUAACACGUGAGUGAUCUGCCCCCAACUUUGGUAUAAGCCUGGGAAACUGGGUCUAAUUCCCGAUAGGACUGCAGGGUGGUGCCUGUGGUGGAAAACGAUUUUCUAGUGGUUGGGGAUGAGCUCGCGGCCUAUCAGCUUGUUGGUGGGGUAAUGGCCUACCAAGGCGGCGACGGGUAGCCGGCCUGAGAGGGUGGACGGCCACAUUGGGACUGAGAUACGGCCCAGACUCCUACGGGAGGCAGCAGUGGGGAAUAUUGCACAAUGGGCGGAAGCCUGAUGCAGCGACGCCGCGUGGGGGAUGACGGCCUUCGGGUUGUAAACUCCUUUCGACCGCGAGGAAGCCACCUGGUUGGAAGGGUGGUGACGGUAGUGGUAGAAGAAGCACCGGCUAACUACGUG